UACGAAGGGGGCUAGCGUUGUUCGGAAUUACUGGGCGUAAAGCGCGCGCAGGUGGUCUUUCAAGUCAGUGGUGAAAGCCCGGAGCUCAACUCCGGAAAUGCCAUUGAAACUGUCAGACUUGAGGAUGAGAGAGGUGAGUGGAAUUCCCAGUGUAGAGGUGAAAUUCGUAGAUAUUGGGAAGAACACCGGUGGCGAAGGCGGCUCACUGGCUCAUAUCUGACGCUCAGGCACGACAGCGUGGGGAUCAAACAGG
rnacentral:rRNA from 1 species